rnacentral:rRNA from 1 species
UACAGAGGUGGCAAGCGUUGUUCGGAAUUACUGGGCGUAAAGGGCGCGUAGGCGGUCUUGUAAGUCUCGUGUGAAAUCCCUCGGCUUAACUGAGGAACUGCACGGGAUACUGCAUGACUUGAGAUCGGGAGAGGGAAGCGGAAUUCCGGGUGUAGCGGUGAAAUGCGUAGAGAUCAGGAAGAACACCGGUGGCGAAAGCGCUCUGCUAGGCCGCAACUGACACUGAGGGACGAAAGCUAGGGGAGCGAAUGGG